GCCAUGGGGUGUAGAUUGGCCUCAGCAAAUGUGGUGCCUUUGGAACGAAAGCCUUCGGAGGAGUUAGCGAAAUUCCAAUGUGUGCGGAUCGGCAAAAAAUGCGAAAUAGCCCUUUCACCGUACAUUUGACAGAUACGCCCGCACUGACUUUUUUGUAGAUCUUAUUGAGAUACAUGUGUGUGUCAAUUUUUGUGUCAAUAUGACAAAGCGUAAAGGCGUGACAGUCAAUAGUGUGAAUUUUCGCCUUAGGAGACAAGAAAAAAUGGACUUUUUUCUCCUGCCAUGGGGGGGCGCUCUUUUGGGGAGUAAAAAUUCCUUCACAAAUGUGUUGAUGGCUGGACAUUGCAUCAUCCUAGAAAACUUGGAGGCCAGUGAGGACAAAAAUAAAAAGUUAUAAGACUUUUAAGAAUGUGGAUUUCUGGGUUAUCUUUGGCGCCCCCUAGAACGUAAACCGUGGGAUGCAGCGUCAUGAUUUGUACAACUUUUAAUGGCCAUGGGGUGUAGAUUGGCCUGAGCAAAUUUGGUGCCGGUGGAACGAAAGCCUUCGGAGGAGUUAGCGAAAUUCCAAUGUGUGCGGAUCGGCAAAAAAUGCGAAAUAGCCCUUUAACCGUACAUUUGACAGAUACGCCCGCACUGACUUUUUUGUAGAUCUUAUUGAGAUACACGUGUGUGUAAAAUUUUGUGUCAUUUUGACAAAGCGUACAGGCGUGACACUCAAUCAUGUGAAUUUUUCACCUUAGGGGGCGCUAUGGAGCCAUUUUGCAUUUGAUUUUUUGGGCGACUUCAGAAUAUCGAAUUUUUCACCAGGCCCGGUCGUCCUGCCAAAUUUCAUGACUUUUCACCAGUGGGAAGUGGGCCAUUUUCCAGUUCAAAGGGGCAGAAAAAUAAUAACUAGGGCCCCGUUGGGGCACUGGCGGGCCCGAGCCGUGUCGCGCUGCCCCCCCCAAUGCGCUGCCUCCCCGUCCCAUUCGCGUCCUCUCUGGUAACGCCCAUCACUGCAAAGACCCUUUCCUUCAUCGGCGUUUGCUGUUGUUCCUGCCAGUGCGUGUUGCUUUCACUUACACUUGCCACAGCCAGCCUCGUGAGUGCCUAGCCUAUUGGAUAUCACUGUCAUCUACACAGGACAGUCAUAACCUUUCUAUUAAUACUUUGUUUUUUAAUUUCACAUUAAUUUCCAUAUUGUAUAAAUGACUGGAAAAAACUUGAGCCCCUGCCCCUGUAUAAUCAUGUGCACGUCCCUGUUCUAGCUCCAAGGUGAAUCUUCACUGCUCAUGUUCUCCUCAGAAAUAGUCACCUCACUCCCCUCAGGUUACUGUACACAUGCACCAACUAUCUGCUUCAGGUUUGGAUGGAGCUUCAUGGUUGUCUUUUGGAGAAAUGACCAGUCAAGUUGUGUUUGAAAUUUGAUUUUUUUCAGGGGCAAAAGGAAGCCUCUGCAUUCUUGUCAAAUAUGUAAACAGCAUGUUUUUGCAGGUGCUAAAAAACAGACUCUGAGUGUGUGUGUGUGUGUGUGUGUGUGUGUGUGUGUGUGUGUGUGUGUGUGUGUGUGUGUGUGUGUGUGUGUGUGUGUGUUGGCGUGUGUGUAUAUGUGUGUGUAUCCUGCAGUACUCUGUACUCCUGCAGUGGCCAAAAAGACUUUUAAGAAUGUGGAUUUUUGGGUCAUCUUUGGCGCCCCCUAGAACUGCAGUACUCUGUACUCCUGCAGUGGCCAAAAUGACUUUUAAGAAUGUGGAUUUUUGGGUCAUAUUUGGCGCCCCCUAGAACGUAAACCGUGGGGUGCAGCGUCAUGAUUUUUACAACUUUGAAUGGCCAUGGGGUGUAGAUUGCCCUGAGCAAAUUUGGUAUCAGUGGGACGAAAGCCUUAGGAGGAGAUAGCCACAUUCCAAUAUGUGCGAAUC